GCACACACACUCGCACACACGCAGAGGCACGGGGGGGAAAGAAGCCGAUGAAUAAUUUUGCUGCUAUUUUUUAAAAUACUGGCCGCCAUCAUCAAGCAGCGAGCAGCAGCGGCUGGAAAGGAGAGCAGGCAUGGGGCAGGCCCCUCUUAGGAGAGGAUUUAUAUCUAGUUGGAAAAAAAAAGAAAGAAAAGAAAAAGAAGAAAAAGAAGAAAAAAAUUGUCAAGCCCCCGAACUGGAGGUUACGAGCAGCCCGUCAGCAGCCCACAUGUAACCGAACUGUCGUGUUUCAUGGCUUUUUGCCACUCCAGAUGUCAAUCAGAGCCCGGAAUGUCAAGGUAGUGAAUGAGUGAUGCUUGACGAUGAUGAAGAGGAGGAAUCUCUCAGACCCGUUUUUUUUCUUCCAGUAAAACUCCACGAGGGGUUUCUGCUUCUUGAAUUUUUUCCUCCCCCCUCCCCCCUUUUAGCUUGGCCCCCGCGAUGUCGCUAAUAGGAUACUCUCUCUUUAAAGUAUUGUUCAAAAAAAAACGGGGAGAAAAAUCAAGAAAAAAUCGAAUAGUUUGCAGAAAUUGGACUUCCUCCCCCCCCUCCUGAAGAACUCCAAGAUUAAAAAUAUCCUUCUCGUUUGAUGCCGAGUUGCUGGUCGACAUAUUUUUAAAAGGAUCCCCUCAAGUCUGAUAGGAAAGACAGGACCACUUCUGGACUAGCUGUAAGGAUGUGUUUUUGUUUCUAUAACACUGAAGCACUUUUCAUAAACCUUUUACUGUAUCUAUAUAAGUCUAUUUGGACAUUAAAAGAAGCGAAGGCACAAAGAUAGCUUGGCUUUAUGCCCUCAGCCUAGCCUUAACAACAACAACAACAAAAUCCAGAAUCUGA